UCUUUCCGCCGUUCAAGAUGCCGAAAGGAAGGAAGUCUAAGGGGAAGAAGGUGGCUCCGGCACCUGCAGUCACAAAGAAACAAGAGGCCAAGAAAGUGGUGAAUCCCCCGCUUCAGAAAAGGCCUAAGAAUGUUGGCAUUGGACAGGACAUCCAACCCAAAAGAGACCUCGCCCACCUUGUGAAAAGGCCCUGCUAUAUCAGGAUGCAGCAGCAGAGAGCCAUCCUCUGUAAGCGACUAAAAAUGCCUCCUGCGAUUAACCAGUUCACCCAGGCACUGAACCACCAAACAGCCACUCAGCUGCUUAAGCUGACCCGCAAGUACAGACUAAAGCAAAGCAAGAGAAGAAGCAGAGGCUGUCUGUCGGCCCCAGCUGAGAAGAAAGCUGCCGGCAAAGGGGACAUCCCCACUAAGAGACCACCUGCCCUUCGAGCAGGAGUUAACACUGUCACCACCUUGGUGGAGAACGUGAAAGCUCAGCUGGUGGUGACUGAUGGCACAUGACGUGGAUCCCAUUGAGCUGGUUGUCUUUCUGCCUGCCCUGUGUCAUAAAAUGGGGGUCCCUUACUGCAUUAUCCAUGGGAAGCCAGACUGGGACGUCUAGUCCACAAGAAGACUAGCACCAAAGCUCAAAAAGCAAAGGCCAAAGAACUUCCUACUAAACUGGAUUAA